rnacentral:rRNA from 1 species
AUUGAACGCUGGCGGCAGGCUUAACACAUGCAAGUCGAGCGGAGAUGAGGUGCUUGCACCUUAUCUUAGCGGCGGACGGGUGAGUAAUGCUUAGGAAUCUGCCUAUUAGUGGGGGACAACAUUCCGAAAGGAAUGCUAAUACCGCAUACGUCCUAAGGGAGAAAGCAGGGGAUCUUCGGACCUUGCGCUAAUAGAUGAGCCUAAGUCGGAUUAGCUAGAUGGUGGGGGAAAGGCGUACCAAGGCGACGAUCUGUAGCGGGUCUGAGAGGAUGGUCCGCCACACUGGGACUGAGACACGGCCCAGACUCCUACGGGAGGCAGCAGUGGGGAAUAUUGGACAAUGGGGGGAACCCUGAUCCAGCCAUGCCGCGUGUGUGAAGAAGGCCUUAUGGUUGUAAAGCACUUUAAGCGAGGAGGAUGCUACUGAUACUAAUACUCUUGGAAAAUGGACGUUACUCGCAGAAUAAGCACCGGCUAACUCUGUGCCAGCCGCCGCUGUAA